GACGAACGCUGGCGGCGUGCUUAACACAUGCAAGUCGAACGCUGAAGCUCAGCUUGCUGGGUGGAUGAGUGGCGAACGGGUGAGUAACACGUGAGUAACCUGCCCUCUUCUUUGGGAUAACGCCCGGAAACGGGUGCUAAUACUGGAUAUUCACUGAUUCUCGCAUGGGGGUUGGUGGAAAGGUUUUUUCUGGUGGGGGAUGGGCUCGCGGCCUAUCAGCUUGUUGGUGGGGUGAUGGCCAACCAAGGCUUUGACGGGUAGCCGGCCUGAGAGGGUGACCGGUCACAUUGGGACUGAGAUACGGCCCAGACUCCUACGGGAGGCAGCAGUGGGGAAUAUUGCACAAUGGGCGAAAGCCUGAUGCAGCGACGCCGCGUGAGGGAUGGAGGCCUUCGGGUUGUAAACCUCUUUCGCUCAUGGUCAAGCCGCAGCGUUGGGUUGUGGUGAGGGUAGUGGGUAAAGAGGCGCCGGCUAACUACGUG
rnacentral:rRNA from 1 species